rnacentral:miRNA from 9 species
CGGGACUACGUCAACUACUAG